GAUGAACGCUGGCGGCGUGCCUAAUACAUGCAAGUCGAGCGAACGGACGAGAAGCUUGCUUCUCUGAUGUUAGCGGCGGACGGGUGAGUAACACGUGGAUAACCUACCUAUAAGACUGGGAUAACUUCGGGAAACCGGAGCUAAUACCGGAUGAUAUUUUGAACCGCAUGGUUCAAAAGUGAAAGACGGUCUUGCUGUCACUUAUAGAUGGAUCCGCGCUGCAUUAGCUAGUUGGUAAGGUAACGGCUUACCAAGGCAACGAUGCAUAGCCGACCUGAGAGGGGGGUCGGCCACACUGGAACUGGGACACGGUCCAGACUCCUGCGGGAGGCAGCAGUAGGGAAUCUUCCGCAGUGGGCGAAAGCCUUACGGAGCAACGCCGCGUGAGUGAUGAAGGUCUUCGGUUCGUAAAACUCUGUUAUGAGGGAAGAACAUAUGUGUAAGUAACUGUGCACAUCUUGACGGUACCUAAUCAGAAAGCCACGGCUAACUACGUG
rnacentral:rRNA from 1 species